GUAGUACUCCCUCCGUUCCAAAUUACUCGUCGCAGAGAUGAAUGUAUCUAGAACUAAAAUACAUCUAGAUACAUAUAUACCUGCGACAAGUAAUUCGAAACGGAGGGAGUACAUG
rfam:Triticum urartu cultivar G1812 contig1179742, whole genome shotgun sequence.